CGCGGCCUAUCAGCUUGUUGGUGAGGUAAUGGCUCACCAAGGCGACGACGGGUAGCCGGCCUGAGAGGGUGACCGGCCACACUGGGACUGAGACACGGCCCAGACUCCUACGGGAGGCAGCAGUGGGGAAUAUUGCACAAUGGGCGAAAGCCUGAUGCAGCGACGCCGCGUGAGGGAUGACGGCCUUCGGGUUGUAAACCUCUUUCAGUAGGGAAGAAGCGAAAGUGACGGUACCUGCAGAAGAAGCGCCGGCUAACUACGUGCCAGCAGCCGCGGUAAUACGUAGGGCGCAAGCGUUAUCCGGAAUUAUUGGGCGUAAAGAGCUCGUAGGCGGUUUGUCGCGUCUGCCGUGAAAGUCCGGGGCUCAACUCCGGAUCUGCGGUGGGUACGGGCCGAGUAGAGUGAUGUAGGGGAGACUGGAUGUCCUGGAGUA
rnacentral:rRNA from 1 species